AGAAAAGCAGGGGAUCGUAAGACCUUGCGCUUUUGGAGCGGCCGAUGUCUGAUUAGCUAGUUGGUGAGGUAAAGGCUUACCAAGGCUUCGAUCAGUAGCUGGUCUGAGAGGACGACCAGCCACACUGGGACUGAGACACGGCCCAGACUCCUACGGGAGGCAGCAGUGGGGAAUUUUGGACAAUGGGGGCAACCCUGAUCCAGCCAUGCCGCGUGAGUGAAGAAGGCCUUCGGGUUGUAAAGCUCUUUCAGCCGGAACGAAAAGGUUACGGUUAAUACCCGUGACUAAUGACGGUACCGGGAGAAGAAGCACCGGCUAACUACGUGCCAGCAGCCGCGGUAAUACGUAGGGUGCGAGCGUUAAUCGGAAUUACUGGGCGUAAAGCGUGCGCAGGCGGUUUUGUAAGUCAGAUGUGAAAUCCCCGGGCUUAACCUGGGAACUGCGUUUGAAACUACAAGGCU
rnacentral:rRNA from 1 species